AUCCAGUCAACGAGUCCAAAUUAGGACGAAACGCGAGUCCUGUAU
rfam:Schistosoma mattheei strain Denwood, Zambia genome assembly, scaffold: SMTD_scaffold0018834